rnacentral:rRNA from 1 species
GCCAGCACCCAUAUCACUCUGCAACUCAUAAUGGGCAACCCACUGAAGUUAAGCAGGUAUGAGCCUAGUCAGUACCUGGAUGGGGGACCUCCUGGGAAAAACUAAGGUUGCUGCUGGAA